AAGUCGUAACAAGGUUUCCGUAGGUGAACCUGCGGAAGGAUCAUUAUUGAUUUUUAAAGGAUGUGCUGGCUGCCCUAUCACAGGUUUGCAUGUGCACUCCACAAAAUCUUCAUUCUCUACACCAUUGUGCACAACCCAGUAGGCAAAACAGGUUCACAGAGCAAUCUGUGCACAUUGUCUGCCUAUGUUUUUUAUACCAAACCCCAAUAAUAUGUCAGAAUGAUGUAUUGCAGUAAGCUUUCACAAGCUGAAAUCUAAUACAACUUUCAACAAUGGAUCUCUUGGUUCUCGCAUCGAUGAAGAACGCAGCGAAUUGCGAUAUGUAAUGUGAAUUGCAGAAUUCAGUGAAUCAUCGAAUCUUUGAACGCACCUUGCACCCUCUGGUAUUCUGGAGGGUAUGCCUGUUUGAGUGUCAUUAAUCCCUCAACACAAGAAAACUUGUUUCUUGUGCUUGGAUAGUGAAGGUUUUGCUGGCGCGAAUAACUGUCAGCUCCUUUUAAAUGCAUUAGCAGAACAGUGCAGGACUGGCCUCAGUUUGAUAAGAAAUAUUUAUCUAUGCUGUCGCUAGAUUUCCUCUUUGUGUUCAGCUUCAAACUGUCUUCGGACUGUCUCUCUUGAGGCAAAAUAAUUCAUUGAUCGACCUCAAAUCAGGUAGGACUACCCGCUGAACUUA
rnacentral:rRNA from 1 species